UACAGAGGUCCCAAGCGUUGUUCGGAUUCACUGGGCGUAAAGGGUGCGUAGGUGGCAGGGUAAGUCGGAUGUGAAAUCUCCGAGCUCAACUCGGAAACUGCAUUGGAAACUACCCAGCUCGAGGGUUGGAAGGGGGACUGGAAUGCUUGGUGUAGCAGUGAAAUGCGUAGAUAUCAAGCGGAACACCAGUGGCGAAGGCGAGUCCCUGGACAACUCCUGACACUGAGGCACGAAAGCUAGGGGAGCAAACAGG
rnacentral:rRNA from 1 species